rnacentral:rRNA from 1 species
UCCUACGGGAGGCAGCAGUAGGGAAUCUUCCGCAAUGGACGAAAGUCUGACGGAGCAACGCCGCGUGAGUGAUGAAGGCUUUCGGGUCGUAAAACUCUGUUGUUAGGGAAGAACAAGUACGAGAGUAACUGCUCGUACCUGACGGUACCUAACCAGAAAGCAUUUAUUGC